UGACCCAUGGUGUAAUGGUAACACAGCAGAUUUUGGUUCUGUCGUUCCAAGUUCGAGUCUUGGUGGGUCAA
rnacentral:tRNA from 3 species